rnacentral:rRNA from 1 species
CGCAUCUGUGCAUGCAGCAUAUCAAUAAGCGGAGGAAAAGAAACUAACAAGGAUUCCCCUAGUAACGGCGAGUGAAGCGGGAAGAGCUCAAAUUUGAAACUCUUAAAGGGUUUCCCUUUACGAAUUGUAGUUUAAAGAAGUGUUUUCUGCUGAAGUUUUGGUAAAAGUUCUUUGGAAUAGGACAUCAUAGAGGGUGAGAAUCCCGUAUUUGACCAUUAUUUUCAACUUUGUGAUACACUUUCAAAGAGUCGGAUUGUUUGGGAAUGCAGUCCAAAAUGGGUGGUAAAUUUCAUCUAAAGCUAAAUAUUGGCGAGAGACCGAUAGCGAACAAGUACCGUGAGGGAAAGAUGAAAAGAACUUUGAAAAGAGAGUUAAACAGUACGUGAAAUUGUCAAAAGGGAAGCGUUUGACACCAGUGUUGUUUUCUCUGAAAAUCAAUUAAAGAACUGGCUCUAUUUGUAAUUGCUGUAGACCUUAUAAGCUAUCUGUACAGUUUUGCGUGUCUUUUUAAUGCACUUUUCGUUUAACAAGUCAACAUCAGUUUCUUUUGUUGUAAAAGGGUCAUUGGAAGGUGGCUUUCUUUUCGGAGAAAGUGUUUAUAGCCUUUGGCCUCUGCAAUCGGAGAGACUGAGGUCUGCAGCGUAGACUCUUCGGGGUUAGAUACAUUUGUGCUAAGUUAUAGCUUUUUAUAGACAACUUGUUGACUAUAAUUAGUCUUGUAGCUUACUCGCUUAUGCUAUUUUACCUACGCUUAGGAUGUUGAUAGUCACAGCGUGUAC